GACCAACGCUGGCGGCGUGCCUAAUACAUGCAAGUAGAACGCACAGUUUAUACCGUAGCUUGCUACACCAUAGACUGUGAGUUGCGAACGGGUGAGUAACGCGUAGGUAACCUGCCUGGUAGCGGGGGAUAACUAUUGGAAACGAUAGCUAAUACCGCAUAAUAUUAAUUAUUGCAUGAUAAUUAAUUGAAAGGUGCAAUUGCACCACUACCAGAUGGACCUGCGUUGUAUUAGCUAGUAGGUGAGGUAACGGCUCACCUAGGCGACGAUACAUAGCCGACCUGAGAGGGUGAUCGGCCACACUGGGACUGAGACACGGCCCAGACUCCUACGGGAGGCAGCAGUAGGGAAUCUUCGGCAAUGGACGAAAGUCUGACCGAGCAACGCCGCGUGAGUGAAGAAGGUUUUCGGAUCGUAAAGCUCUGUUGUAAGAGAAGAAACGGGUGUGAGAGUGGAAAAGUUCAC
rnacentral:rRNA from 1 species